rnacentral:rRNA from 1 species
GUCUAUUAGGAUGAUGUUAAUAGUCUAGCCUGCUCAAUGAUAUACAUUAUUAAAUAGCCGCGGUAUCUUGACCGUGCAAAGGUAGCAUAAUCAUUAGUUCUUUAAUUGGGAACUCGUAGGAAUGGUUGGACAAAGAAAGGUCUGUCUCUUUAGUUAAAAUUGAAAUUAACUUCUAAGUGAAAAGGCUUAGAUCCUCUAAAGGGACGAUAAGACCCUAUAAAGCUUUAUAGAUUGUGAAAAUCUUACGGAUAUUAUUUGCAUAAGAAAGAUUUUUAAAGUCUAUUGGGUUGGGGCGACAAAGGUAUAAAUAAAAUAACUGCUAAAUAAUAUUACAGCAAUAAUUGAUUAAAAAUUAGUUGAUCCUUAUUAUGGAUUUAGAGAUCAAGUUACUUUAGGGAUAACAGCGUUAUUUUUCCAGAGAGCCCUUAUCAAAGGAAAAGUUUGCGACCUCGAUGUUGAAUUAAAAUGUCUUUAUAGAGCAGCAUCUAUAAA